UCCUACGGGAGGCAGCAGUGGGGAAUAUUACGCAAGGGAGGCAAGCGGGAUGCAGCCCAGCCGCGUGUAUCAAGAAGGCCCCAGGGUUGUAAAGUACUUCAGCGGGGAGGAAGGAAAGAGGUUAAUACGACAGCAAAGACGUACCCAGAGAGCCCCAAUCC
rnacentral:rRNA from 1 species